rnacentral:rRNA from 1 species
GGGAAUAUUGGACAAUGGGCGCAAGCCUGAUCCAGCAAUGCCGCGUGAGUGAUGAAGGCCUUCGGGUCGUAAAGCUCUUUUACCAGGGAUGAUAAUGACAGUACCUGGAGAAUAAGCUCCGGCUAACUCCGUGCCAGCAGCCGCGGUAAUACGGAGGGAGCUAGCGUUGUUCGGAAUUACUGGGCGUAAAGCGCACGUAGGCGGUUACUCAAGUCAGAGGUGAAAGCCCGGGGCUCAACCCCGGAACUGCCUUUGAAACUAGGUGACUGGAAUCUUGGAGAGGCGAGUGGAAUUCCGAGUGUAGAGGUGAAAUUCGUAGAUAUUCGGAAGAACACCAGUGGCGAAGGCGACUCGCUGGACAAGUAUUGACGCUGAGGUGCGAAAGCGUGGGGAGCAAACAG